rnacentral:rRNA from 1 species
GACGAACGCUGGCGGCGUGCUUAACACAUGCAAGUCGAACGAUGAAGAAAAGAAUUGAAGCUUCGGCAGAAAUUCAUUUCGGAUUAGUGGCAGACGGGUGAGUAACGCGUGAGCAACCUACCUCUUACAAAGGGAUAGCCUCGGGAAACCGGGAUUAAUACCAUAUAACAUUGCGACGAAGCAUUUCGAUGCAAUCAAAGCUACGGCGGUAAGAGAUGGGCUCGCGUCCCAUUAACCAGAUGGUGAGGUAACGGCUCACCAUAGUAACGAUUGGUAACCGGCCUGAGAGGGUGAACGGUCACACUGGAACUGAGACACGGUCCAGACUCCUACGGGAGGCAGCAGUGGGGAAUAUUGCACAAUGGAGGGAACUCUGAUGCAGCGACGCCGCGUGAGUGAUGAAGGAAUUCGUUUCGUAAAACUCUGUUCUAUGGGAAGAAAAGGACUGUACCAUAGGAGAAAGCUCCGGCUAAAUACGUG